AGAUCUGUAAGCUCAAAAUGGUAGAGCGCUCUUCUUCUUAUGAAGCUGAGAGGUUGGUGGUUCAAAUCCACCCAGAUUUG
rnacentral:tRNA from 1 species